rnacentral:rRNA from 1 species
AUUGAACGCUGGCGGCAGGCCUAACGCAUGCAAGUCGAGCGGAUGAAGAGAGCUUGCUCUCUGAUUCAGCGGCGGACGGGUGAGUAAUGCCUAGGAAUCUGCCUGGUAGUGGGGGACAACGUUUCGAAAGGAGCGCUAAUACCGCAUACGUCCUACGGGAGAAAGCAGGGAACCUUCGGGCCUUGCGCUAUCAGAUGAGCCUAGGUCGGAUUAGCUAGUUGGUGGGGUAAUGGCCCACCAAGGCGACGAUCCGUAACUGGUCUGAGAGGAUGAUCAGUCACACUGGAACUGAGACACGGUCCAGACUCCUACGGGAGGCAGCAGUGGGGAAUAUUGGACAAUGGGCGAAAGCCUGAUCCAGCCAUGCCGCGUGUGUGAAGAAGGUCUUCGGAUUGUAAAGCACUUUAAGUCGGGAGGAAGGGCUGUAGGCUAAUACCUUGCAGUUUUGACGUUACCGACAGAAUAAGCACCGGCUAACUUCGUGCCAGCCGCCGCAGUAAAAC